GCAGGUAUAGCUCAGAGGCACAGCAUGUGCUUAGCACGUAGAAGGUUCUGGGUUCAAUCCCUGGUACCUCCA
rnacentral:tRNA from 1 species